GAUGAACGCUGGCGGCGUGCCUAAUACAUGCAAGUCGAGCGAACAGACGAGGAGCUUGCUCCUCUGACGUUAGCGGCGGACGGGUGAGUAACACGUGGAUAACCUACCUAUAAGACUGGGAUAACUUCGGGAAACCGGAGCUAAUACCGGAUAAUAUAUUGAACCGCAUGGUUCAAUAGUGAAAGACGGUUUUGCUGUCACUUAUAGAUGGAUCCGCGCCGCAUUAGCUAGUUGGUAAGGUAACGGCUUACCAAGGCAACGAUGCGUAGCCGACCUGAGAGGGUGAUCGGCCACACGGGAACUGAGACGCGGUCCAGACUCCUACGGGAGGCAGCAGUAGGGAACCUUCCGCAAUGGGCGAAAGCUUGACGGAGCAACGCCGCGUGAGUGAUGAAGGUCUUCGGAUCGUAAAACUCUGUUAUUAGGGAAGAACAAAUGUGUAAGUAACUAUGCACGUCUUGACGGUACCUAAUCAGAAAGCCACGGCUAACUACGUG
rnacentral:rRNA from 1 species